rnacentral:misc_RNA from 1 species
GAUGAAGAACGCAGCGAAAUGCGAUACGUAAUGUGAAUUGCAGAAUUCAGUGAAUCAUCGAAUCUUUGAACGCAAAUUGCGCUCUCUGGUAUUCCGGAGAGCAUGCUUGUUUGAGUAUCAGUAAACACCUCAACUUCCAUAUCUUUUUUGAAAUGGGAGUUGGACUUGAGUGAUCCCAACGCUUUUCCUCACCGAAAAGUGGCGGGUUACUUGAAAUGCAGGUGCAGCUGGACUUUUCUCUGAGCUAUAAGCAUAUCUAUUUAGUCUGCCUAAAAAACAGAUUAUUACCUUUGCUGCAGCUAACAUAAAGGAGAUUAGUUCUUGUGCUGACUGAUGCAGGAUUCACAAAGACAGGCUUCGGCCGACUUUGUAAACUCGAUCUCAAAUCAAGUAAGACUACCCGCUGAACUUAAGCAUAUCAAAAGCGGAGGA